UCCCGUGCUUAAGUGCUAAAAUACCCUUCUUUUCUCCGUACUUGCCUCUGUGAUAUCUUCUUCUCCCCAAGCGCGAAAAAUUCCUAGUUUUCCCAGUUUAAGCAAAACGAAUGAUAGUGGCAAAGGUGAAAACAAUCCCUUCGUGAUGAUCAUUGAUCCUUUACGUUUUCCUCCAUAUCUCUAAAAAAACAGACACCCUUUUGCUUGUAACAGAGGAAAAUCCUUCUUUGUCCAUGUCGCAAAACUAGACCCAUCUUGUUUCAUGAAAAUGGUGGAGCCAUUUUUGCCGGUCGGGAGGUUUCAGUUGCAGAGAAAAAGAAAGGAGCUUAAGAGAUGGGGCGUGGCGUUCUUCUCUUCACACCGGAAUCUCUUUACUGUCUUUUGGAUCGUGGCUUUCUGUUCGGUUUUUUGGUGGCAACGGAAUAUUGAUGUCAACCUGGGGUUUUUCUUGUGGGGGAAACCGUUUUUCGGUCGGCCCCUGCCGAGAUGCAGGCAUUCGCGUUUAAUUUGAUCGAUUUCGGUGGUGUAGGUGAUGGGGUGACGGUGAAUACAGUGGCGUUCGAAACACCGUGUCGGUGAUCUCGAAGCUUGGGUAGAGAGGUAGUGGGCAGCUCAAUGUGCCGCCUGGGAAGUGGCUUACGGCUCCGUUUAAUCUCACUAGUCAUAUGGCUUUGUUCCUAGCUGAGGAUGCUGAGAUUCUUGGUAUCCAGGUUUGACCUUUAGGAAAUUUUCCUUUUUGUUGAAUUCAUGAACUCUUAAGUAAGUUUAAAUUUCUACAUUUUCGGUUGUUAUUGGCUGUGAAUGGUGAUGUUGGGGUUUUAUGAUUAAUGUAAACAUGUAUGAUGAUCAUAUAAUCAAGGGAAUUCAUAGUCAUUGUACCAACUUCUAACUUCCAAAUUUCGUCGUUGAAGUUAGCCGAGCUCAUGGAUCGAUAAGUGUGUUCAAAUUUCGCAAUGAUAUUGAAUGAUUAUUCAAGACAAUGAUUGAGUUUUCGAACUUGUAGUUUAACAUUGUUAGUUGUCAUAGGCUGUGAUUAGUAGGGGGUCUUAUUUAGUUAGUGUAAACAUGUAUGACUGUCAUAUAUCGGGAGAAAUCGUAGUGAUUUCACCAAUUUCCAUCUUCCAAAUUAUGUUAGUAUAAUGAUAUGUUAGUUUAUGUUCUAGUCAUUUGGUAACUUCUCGUCGAUGAAGUUAGUUGAGCUCAUGGGUCUUACAAGUAACUGGUUAUAGCACCCAUCCAAGAAAAAGUUAUAGCAUCCAUCCAAGAAAAAUAGACAGAAAUAAACAUAUUGCAUGUGCGAGACUGGGAGAAUUGUGGCUGACUAGUGCUUGGUUGCGGAUGGUGACUGCUGAGGUAGAUGAUAACUCCCUGGGGGUAACUGUGUCCGUGUAGUGCUUGGUGCAGGUUGCGGCAGCUAAUGAGGUUGGCUAUACCCUGAUGGAGGAAAGUACGGAUAAUGAUGAUCAAAACCGAAUUGACUAUGGCUGGCACCAUCUACCGCACAACCCACUGGAUGGAAAGGCUCAUGUGCACUAUGUCUUGGAGCAUAGUCUGUUUUAGAUGGUUUGUAUGAAGUUCCCACCAAGUGAAUGAAAAUUACAAGGUAACAAAGAAUCGUGAGCCAAAAUGAGGAUUAUGAUAAAAGGAGGCGUAUGGAAGAACACGGAGGAUAAGAUAUUGAAGGCGGCGAUUAUGAAAUAUGGGAAGAACCAAUGGGCUCGAAUUUCUUCUUUGCUUGUUCGUAAAUCUGCUAAGCAAUGUAAAGCUCGCUGGUAUAAGUGGCUCGAUCCCUCCAUUAAAAAGACCGAAUGGACUAGAGAAGAGGAUGAGAAGCUGCUUCGUCUUGCUAAGCUCAUGCCAAUGCAAUGGAGGACGAUUGCCCCAAUUGUUGGCCGAACACCUUCUCAAUGUCUUGAACGUUUCGAGAAACUCCUUGAUGAACAUCGCAAAUUAGGUGAAUGAGAAGCAGGCUGGCCAUCACGACACAUAGCACACCUGCAAAGGAAUCAGUAUGAAAGUGAUGGGCAUCUUGCCAAAGCUAUAUAUUUCAUAAAUUUCUUUUUCUCACUAAUGUUCACAUUCUGCAGCUGUGAACUAUUUUAAUAAAUGAACCACCCUCACCUUUUCAACCUUGAAACGAAAAAAAACCUCCAGUAGUGCCAUUACCAUUAGCAGUUAAUUGAUGUUGCUUCUUUGAGCAACAUGAUGAUUCCUUCAAAAGAGGAAA